AUGUGGUGGCAGUUUAUACGGCAUUGGUGUCCUGUUGUGCACGAAGCGUGCCUUCUGUCUUGGCUGGUAUUGUACCAUCAUUGGCUGUUAGAAUUGAGUUGUACAUGCCGUGUUGUUUCGAAAGCCUCACGCAACAUUGCCUACAGGAAGAAUGUCUUCCGGUACUGUCUGUCUGUCACUAUUGGGUUGCAAGUUGAAUGGAUAUCUCAUGUCCAUCUUUUGCAGAGACAUGUCCGCUCACUUUGUUUCUAUUGUAAAGGCGGCAUGCAUUGCGUAGAAAGUAGGUACUCAAGCAUGCCUGUGCUGCGUACAAAGUAG
rnacentral:rRNA from 1 species